CUAUCCUAUGGGGGGCAGCAGUAGGGAAUCUUCCACAAUGGACGAAAGUCUGAUGGAGCAACGCCGCGUGAGUGAAGAAGGGUUUCGGCUCGUAAAGCUCUGUUGGUAGUGAAGAAAGAUAGAGGUAGUAACUGGCCUUUAUUUGACGGUAAUUACUUAGAAAGUCACGGCUAACUACGUGCCAGCAGCCGCGGUAAUACGUAGGUGGCAAGCGUUGUCCGGAUUUAUUGGGCGUAAAGCGAGUGCAGGCGGGUUAAUAAGUCUGAUGUGAAAACCUUUGGCUCCAACGGAGGAUU
rnacentral:rRNA from 1 species